GCCUGUGUGACGCUGACGUGAGGCUGACCAGCACCCCCGCUGCUGCUCCAGACCAGGUGCCUCUCGUCUGCCCCAGGCCUUGCCACACUCCCCCAGGCAGCCGGGCCUUCCUUCUGCUCUGCCGUCUGCUCAGCCGAGCUCCGAGGGCCACCCGAGGCCGCUGACUUCUAAAGAGGAGGCUCAUUCUGGCUCCCGACUUGGUAGAUUCAAGCCCAGGAUUGGGCAGCCCCAUGGCUGGCGUCUGGUGUGGCAGCAGAUGGCAGUGGUGGGGCACACGCGGGAGGGUCUCGUGCUGAGCCAGGAGGCAGAGGGCCAGCUUGGGCCCGAACCCAGGCUUCUGGGACAGAGCUUGCGAGGAGAACCUCCGCGUGUGCCAGGAUGGAAGAGCUCUUCCCAGGCUCACCCCAAGCACCAGUGCUGGGUGCACUGCCAGCCUCUCAGUGCCGUUAACCUAAGAUUCUGGGGCUUUAACAGCUGCAGGAGUCCCAGGGCCAAUCUUACUCUAACACACAGUCCUCUCUGCAGAUCUCGCGCUUCGUCUCGCGUCCUGUGUGCCCGGUACCUGAGCAGCCUUUCACCUUCAGCCGACACAGGAAGAGGAUCCUCAGAGCUCGUUGCACAGAAAGCCGACUUCCCAGGGAGGAGCAGGCGUCGAGCCCGGAUCUGACAGCAGCUGCACGAGCCCUGUGCUGGCUGGCGCGGAAGGGGUGGACCCAGAACCUCCAGGACCUCUGUCUGCUUGGGCUCAGUCACCUGCGUUUCCAGCGAGGAAGCUGAAUGACACAAGGCCCCACAGUCACUGGGUCCAGGUGUGAACCUGGGCCUCCACUUCCACCGCUUCCCUUCCUUGGGUGCGUCAUUCCAGGCCCAGCCCCCCCCCCCCCCGCACCCUCCCCUCCCCCCACUGCCACGGUCGACUGAUCUCAGACCAAUUUGAUCUCUGGAUUUCAUUCCAGUGACGCCAUCUUGUAAGGAAGCACAAUACCAUAAAUGGAUUUCUGGACCCCUCCUUUUGUUGUAGACGUUGGGGAGAUCCAGGGGUUAGAACAACCCUGCACAGCUGAUGGGGCUGCGGGAAAACCUUCACGUGACAGGUGCUUGCCAUCGUCACUUUGUCCCUGCACAGUGGGGAGAAUCCUGCCUGCACCCCGGUGCCUGGGUCCCUCUGCACCUGCCAAGGGAGACGCUGAGCCCACACCCCAGUCCCUGCACUUGGCUGGUCUAAUCCAAGCAAUGGGCGAAUAAAGACAAAGCUGGAAUAGUGUAGGUGAGAGCU
rnacentral:lncRNA from 1 species